UUCGCAAUGCCCGAAAGGGUGACGAAGCGACGCCGCGUGUGGGAAGAAGGCCUUCGGGUUGUAAACCACUGUCGGGAGUUAAGAAAUGCAAGGAUAUGAAUAGUGUCUUUGCUUGACUAAGGCUCCGGAGGAAGCCACGGCUAACUCUGUGCCAGCAGCCGCGGUAAUACAGAGGCGGCAAGCGUUGUUCGGAAUUAUUGGGCGUAAAGAGCACGUAGGCGGCUAUAUAAGCCGGUUGUGAAAGCCUUCCGCUCAACGGGAGAACAGCAUCCGAUACUGUGUGGCUUGAGUGUGGGAGGGGAGAGCGGAACUUCUGGUGGAGCGGUGAAAUGCGUAGAUAUCAGAAGGAACGCCGGCGGCGAAAGCGGCUCUCUGGCCCAUAACUGACGCUGAGUGUGCGAAAGCUAGGGGAGCAAACGGGAUUAGAUACCCCGGUAGUCCUAGCCGUAAACGAUGGGCACUAAGUAGAGGGGUUUUA
rnacentral:rRNA from 1 species